AAUAAUGCCUCCUCAACCGCCGU
rnacentral:siRNA from 1 species